AGCAGCCGCGGUAAUUCCAGCUCCAAUAGCGUAUAUUAAAGUUGUUGCAGUUAAAAAGCUCGUAGUUGAAUUUUUGGUCUGACAGAUUGGUCCAUUCUGAAUGGGAUGAGUACUGAUUUUGUUGGGCCUAAUUCUUAGUGAGACUAGAUGCUCUUUAUUGGGUGUUUAGGGUAGCUAAGACGUUUACCUUGAAAAAUUAGAGUGUUUAAAGCAGGCAUAUGCCGGAAUAGAUUAGCAUGGAAUAAUAGAAUAGGACGCAUGGACCUAUUUUGUUGGUUUCUAGGACCAUCGUAAUGAUUAAUAGGGAUAGUUGGGGGCAUUAGUAUUCAAUUGUCAGAGGUGAAAUUCUUGGAUUUAUUGAAGACUAACUAUUGCGAAAGCAUUUGCCAAGGAUGUUUUCAUUAAUCA
rnacentral:rRNA from 1 species